AAUAAACACACUAAAUAUCAGUAUUCUUUGAUAUCCAAAUAGUAAUUAUUCAGAAUAGGACCACACAAAGCAGUGCUUCACACUCCAGAAAAGGCCAAUAAACUGCCAUCAUCUGUAUUCUGGGAAAAUAGAAUUGAAACUAAUUCCUCAUUUGACAACGAUUUACGAGAUAAGUUCGCAAUUUAAUAGUAACAGAAUAAUCAUGGUGGUUUGUUGACUUUUGCCGGAGUGGAAAUUGCGGAGGUAACAGGCGUCACUUAACCAUUCGGAGUUGGGCCCUAUCUUCUUGGGCUGGGCAUCUUAAGAUGUUCUGUUUUCUAUUAUUUUCUUGACGCGAUGCUAAGUAAUAUUUGGUAUUAUGCAUUAGUUAUAAAACCGAAGUAACAACUAGCUUUUAUUUUGAACAAAGAUAUGCUGUGGGAAAAUAAUUUGACCCCAUGAUUCGUGCCCAUUGCGCAAGGGUUAAAGUAAGCUUUGGAAAGAGAUUGUGUGCGUGCCAUUGUUUUGCACCAAUUACUUUUAUAUAUAUGGUUGCUAUAGUUUUUAUCUAUCUCCAAGCAGACCUACUUUGAUGAAUUAUCAAGAAAACUAAAUUAAUCAUGAUAGUGUUAAUGAAAAAUUAAUCAUGAUAUACAUGUCAUAUAUAAGUAACAUUUUGUAUUAUUGUAAAUUUACAUAAUCAAUAGAUAGAAUUAGGAAUGUAGUAUAAAUGGAAUAUCUUAAUAUGAAGGAUAGUUUAAUUUAUGGUAAAUAUUUAAAGGAUUCCUUCAUUGGCUUUCAAGAUGUGUUUUGGUCAAAUCCACAUGAAACUUUCUUUAAGUCAUAGUUUUAGUGUGAUUGUGUGAUAGUAUCAAAAAACUAACACUGCCUCUGCAUCUAAGCUCUAUGUUCUAUAUGAUAUAAAAUAGGUAAAUAUUUGACACUCCAGCAAAAUCCAAUAAAACUUCAGUUGAUAUAUUCUGGGAAGAUAAAUCUUCAACUGGUUCCAUAUUUGACAAUAAUUAUCUCUAUGUUAUCUAAAUAGCUCUUUUGUUACUCUUAGACUAACAAAUUUAGUCAUAUGAGUGUAGUAAAUCAUAGGCAGAGAUUUGGACUAUCCUUAGCAAUAGCGUUGAAUUUUAGGAAAUGCAAUUUUUUGGCUUGUUUUGCCAUGAACAUUUGAUUUAGGCUUUUUACUGUUUUGUUUGUAUUUAUUUCUUUAUUUCUCUAUUUGGUUUCUUCAUUUCUCUAUAUAUCUAGACACUAUUAUAUUCUUUUUCAUGUUAUCCAUCAUAAAUUUCAUUCCUGUGGAUUGAAUCAUGAAGAUUUACCCAGAUUAUUUCUCUAUACAUUAUUAGUGGGUAGCAAAACAGUAGGUUUGCCAUGAUGAUGUUCUCUCCUUUUCUUCAGUCUUCUUUUCUUAGAUUAUCACAUAUUGCUGUUAAACCUUCCAGGAUGAGCCACAUCUUAAGAUAUUCAGCUUAGGCUGGGCAUUAUUAUUUUUCAGUUAUAGUAUGAUAUGGGAGUCUAUAUAUGAUAAAUUAGCAAAGGGAUACUAAUUAGCAUUUGGUGUAUUUCCCUAGUUAUACAACUGCAGGAAGGAAUUACUGGUAAUUUAAAGAAGAGGAAAAAUGCAUUACAAAAGUAAUCUGACUCCAUGAAACAGUCCCAUUGCAGAAGAGUUAAACAUAUGUUUAUUAGAUAGGUAACACAUUAGGCCAGUGAAAUUAUAUUUCUUGUUACGUCAGUGCCAUCAUAUAAGAUUUCAUUGUUACAAACUUUUCAUUCAUUCGCAGAAAAAAAAGCCAAAAUAAAAGAGAGUUAUCUCCGUCUCUGAAAGUACAUAUUCAAUUUAGAUUAUAGGUAUUCAAGUAGAUAAUGAGCUGUUUGGAUUGUGUAAUAAGAUUGAUAGACCCUAUGGAGUCGGCAGUAGCUCUGGAGUAUUGGUACCAAUAUUGUAAGUGCAGUUAGCAACAUGAGGUGUAUCACCCAUUUUUACAGUACAUGUUUUUAUCCAUCAUUUUAUUCUUGAUUUGGCAAAAUCAUAUAAAAAAGUUCGUACUGCCCAGUGUUAGGAGUUUUCAUGACUGAUCAUGAAGAAGUCAAUAUGUAAAACAUCCUACUGACCCUUGAUUUAUUUGAUAGUGAAUAUGAAUGGAAAUGUAUUGACAGUUUUUUUUUGUUAUCAGUUAUUGUACAAAGUGACCUCAUUGAAAGCAGUCAGGAGUAGUAAGGUCUGGUGAUCAUGGAGGCCACAAGGUUUUGGAAACAAGUUGAUCAUCGAAAAACUCCACCAAGAAGACCAUUGUUUGGGAAAAUGCCUGUGAAGUUGAGUGUUAGGUGCAGUUAUGUUCCAUCUGCUGUCUAUUCUGCAUUCUGAACUUCCUGACCAAAUAGCACCUGUUAAUCCUCUGCUUUAUGACAGUUAUCCAGGUUAUUUUGAGUCAUCCCCAUUGCUACAACUAUCAGAUAAAUAGCUGGAUGCAGUUAUAUGCCAGAUGCUGUCUGUUCUGCACCCAAAACUACUUGACCAUGUGGCAAGUCUCCAUGUCUUCUGCUUUAUGUCUUCCUGGUUAUUUUGGGUUCGUAGCUGGAUGUAUUUAGAUGCCAAUUGCUGUCUGUUCCUCACCAGACCAUGUAGCAUCGCCUUUGUGCCAGCUUCCUUGAUUAUUUUGAGAUGUCCUCUAUGCUACAUCUGAAAUGGUUGCAGAAAUGCACUAUCUAGAAGACGAGUCACAAGUUCUGCCUAGAAGGAAGGAUUCUCAACAACAGACUCAACACAAAUAUAAGAAAGGCAGAAAUUGGAAAAGCUAAAUGACGAUGGGCUUCAGCGUUUAACCUGGUGUGGACAAGUGGCAACACAUAUGUACCAAACAAGUUACUCGCCAGACAACAGAUGGCGACACAUGACACCAUUCUCUUCAAGCACCAGCAAGAAAGAAAGCCUUGAAGGGCAUCUCCACAUUCUAUACCAAGCACAAUCCUCAGGGAGAGAUGAUACACAGCAAGAUGUUGACCUGUGGCUCUAAAGUAGAGGCAGUGAAGGAUAUGAAGGCAGAAUGAGAAGAGGAGGGUGAACCAGAUCAUGUACAGCAUCUGUAAGGUGUCCCUGUGCUAGUAUAGCUGCUUUGUACUGUAGCACUUGCAGUUUUAGGCACAGGUCUCAUUCGUCUUCCCAUUUCUUCAUUUAUUUUUAUUAUGGAUGGUUAUUGCUUUUGUAUUUGUUUAUAAAAGAUAAAAGUUGCUUUUUCCCUUCCA
rnacentral:lncRNA from 1 species